rnacentral:rRNA from 1 species
GACGAACGCUGGCGGCGCGCUUAACACAUGCAAGUCGAACGGAAAGGCCUGCUUUCCCUUGUGGAUUGCGGGUACUCGAGUGGCGAACGGGUGAGUAACACGUGAGUGAUCUGCCCCCAACUUGGGUAUAAGCCUGGGAAACUGGGUCUAAUUCCCGAUAGGACUGCAGGGUGGUGCCUGUGGUGGAAAACGAUUUUCUAGUGGUUGGGGAUGAGCUCGCGGCCUAUCAGCUUGUUGGUGGGGGAAUGGCCUACCAAGGCGGCGACGGGUAGCCGGCCUGAGAGGGUGGACGGCCACAUUGGGACUGGGAUACGGCCCAGACUCCUACCGGAGGCAGCAGUGGGGAAUAUUGCACAAUGGGCGGAAGCCUGAUGCAGCGACGCCGCGUGGGGGAUGACGGCCUUCGGGUUGUAAACUCCUUUCGACCGCGAGGAAGCCACCUGGUUGGAAGGGUGGUGACGGUAGUGGUAGAAGAAGCACCGGCUAACUACGUG